rnacentral:tRNA from 1 species
GCCUUCGUGAUGGAACUGGUAGACAUACUGGUUUUAGGAACCAGUGCCGCUAGGCGUGCCGGUUCAAGUCCGGCCGAAGGCA